UUAAAAAUGUUAGUUGUUUAAUUCAACUUAAUUUGAGUUAAAUAACUUAUUAAUUUUAUUUUUAAAAAAAAUAUUUUAAAUUUUUAUUAUUAAUUAAGAAAAAAUUAAUUUAAUUAUAAAUUAUUAGUAUUGUAAAAGAAAGUUUAAAUAGGUGAAAUUUUAAAUAUUUAAAAGAAAAAUUCAUGUUUUGUACCUUGUGUAUCAGGGCUUAUUAAUUAAUAAUUAAUUAUUUAAUUUUCUCGAUUUUGAAAGAGUUAAAAAAUAAUAUAUUUUAUUGUUGAAUAAAUAUUUAAAAUUAUUUUUUAGAAAUGAAACGUUAUUCGUUUUCAAAUAUAUCUAGUUUUUAAAGAAAAGUAUUUAAUACUAUUAUUAUUUAUGUAUUUAUUAAAUAUAAAAUAAAAUAUAAAAAUAAUAAUAAAUAAUUUAAGGGAUAAGCUUUAAAUUAAAUUACUAUAAAUUUUUUAUUAUUUAAAAUUUUUGUAGGAUUAGAAUUUUUCAUCAAUUAUAAUAUGUUAUAAUUAAGGUUUUUCAUAAUAUAUUUUAUAUAAUAAUUUUAGGUUUUUUAUUUAAAUAAUUUAUUUAAUUUUAAAAUAAAUGAAAUAAUGAUAAAAUUAGUAUAAUUUAUUGUAUUUAUAAUUUAAUAAUUUUAGGUUAAAUUAAGGAAUUCGGCAAAUAAGUUUCUCGCCUGUUUAUUAAAAACAUGUCUUUUUGAGUAUGAUUUAAAGUCUGACCUGCCCACUGAGUAUUUAAAUGGCCGCAGUAUUUUGACUGUGCAAAGGUAGCAUAAUAAUUAGUUUUUUAAUUGAAAGCUGGAAUGAAUGGUUCAACGAAGAAAAAACUGUCUCAGUUUAAUUUUAAUUAGAAUUUUAUCUUUAAGUAAAAAAGCUUAGAUAAAUUUUAAAGACGAGAAGACCCUAUAGAGUUUUAUAUUUAAAAUUAUAUAAAAUAUGAAGAAUUAUAUUUUUUUUUUAUUUUUAAAUAUUUUAUUGGGGUGAUAGAAAAAUUUAUUUAACUUUUUUUUAUUUAUGACAUUUAUAUAUGAAUUAUUGAUCCAAUAGUUUUGAUUAUAAGAUUAAAUUACCUUAGGGAUAACAGCGUAAUUUUUUUUAAGAGUUCUUAUCGAAAGAAAAGAUUGCGACCUCGAUGUUGGAUUAAAAUUAAUUUUUGGUGUAGAAGCUAAAAAUUUUAGGUCUGUUCGACCUUUAAAAUUUUACAUGAUCUGAGUUUAAACCGGUGUAAGCCAGGUUGGUUUCUAUCUUUAAAUAAAUAUUAUAUUUUAGUACGAAAGGACCAAAUAUAUAUAAAAUUUAUUAUAAAAUGAAUUACAUUAAUGUCAUUUUGGCAGAUUAGUGCAUUAAAUUUAGAAUUUAAUUAAGU
rnacentral:rRNA from 1 species